rnacentral:rRNA from 1 species
ACAACAGGGAUUGCCCUAGUAACGGCGAGUGAAGCGGCAACAGCUCAAAUUUGAAAUCUGGCUCUUUCAGGGUCCGAGUUGUAAUUUGCAGAGGGCGCUUUGGCUUUGGCAGCGGUCCAAGUUCCUUGGAACAGGACGUCACAGAGGGUGAGAAUCCCGUACGUGGUCGCUAGCUAUUGCCGUGUAAAGCCCCUUCGACGAGUCGAGUUGUUUGGGAAUGCAGCUCUAAAUGGGAGGUAAAUUUCUUCUAAAGCUAAAUACUGGCCAGAGACCGAUAGCGCACAAGUAGAGUGAUCGAAAGAUGAAAAGCACUUUGGAAAGAGAGUCAAACAGCACGUGAAAUUGUUGAAAGGGAAGCGCUUGCAGCCAGACUUGCUUGCAGUUGCUCAUCCGGGCUUUUGCCCGGUGCACUCUUCUGCAGGCAGGCCAGCAUCAGUUUGGGCGGUGGGAUAAAGGUCUCUGUCACGUACCUCUCUUCGGGGAGGCCUUAUAGGGGAGACGACAUACCACCAGCCUGGACUGAGGUCCGCGCAUUCGCUAGGAUGCUGGCGUAAUGGCUGUAAGCGGCCCGUCUUGAAACACGGACCAAGGAGUCUAACAUCUAUGCGAGUGUUUGGGUGUCAAGCCCGAACGCGUAAUGAAAGUGAACGGAGGUGGGAACCCGCAAGGGUGCACCAUCGACCGAUCCUGAUGUCUUCGGAAGGAUUUGAGUAAGAGCAUGGCUGUUGGGACCCGAAAGAUGGUGAACUAUGCUUGAAUAGGGUGAAGCCAGAGGAAACUCUGGUGGAGGCUCGCAGCGGUUCUGACGUGCAAAUCGAUCGUCAAAUUUGGGCAUAGGGGCGAAAGACUAAUCGAACU